rnacentral:piRNA from 1 species
UGCUACCGGGUCACUGCUCUUUUG